UGGGGAAUAUUGGACAAUGGGCGAAAGCCUGAUCCAGCCAUGCCGCGUGGGUGAAGAAGGCCUUCGGGUUGUAAAGCCCUUUUGUUGGGGAAGAAAUCCUGCUGGCUAAUACCCGGCGGGGAUGACGGUACCCAAAGAAUAAGCACCGGCUAACUUCGUGCCAGCAGCCGCGGUAAUACGAAGGGUGCAAGCGUUGUCCGGAAUUAUUGGGCGUAAAGAGCUCGUAGGCGGUCUGUCGCGUCUGUCGUGAAAGCCCACGGCUUAACUGUGGGUCUGCGGUGGAUACGGGCAGGCUAGAGGCAGGUAGGGGAGCAUGGAAUUCCCGGUGUAGCGGUGAAAUGCGCAGAUAUCGGAGGAACACCGGUGGCGAAGGCGGUGCUCUGGGCCUGUUCUGACGCUGAGGAGCGAAAGCGUGGGGAGCGAACAGGAUUAGAUACC
rnacentral:rRNA from 1 species